rnacentral:rRNA from 2 species
UAGCGAAAGUUACGCUAAUACCGCAUACGUUCUACGGAAGAAAGUGGGGGACCUUCGGGCCUCAUGCUUUUGGAGCGGCCGAUGUCUGAUUAGCUAGUUGGUGAGGUAAAGGCUCACCAAGGCGACGAUCAGUAGCUGGUCUCGAGAAGGGACGACCAGGCCACACCUGGGACUUGAGACACGGCCCAGACUCCUACGGGAGGGCCAGCAGUGGGGAAUUUUGGACAAUGGGCGCAAGCCUGAUCCAAGCAAUGCCGCGUGAGGUGAAGAAGGCCUUCGGGUUGUAAAGCUCUUUUGUCAGGGAAGAAAACCGGGAUCCAGCUAAAUAUCUGGUCCUAAUGACGGUACCUGAAGAAUAAGCACCGGCUAAACUACGUGCCAGCAGCCGCGGUAAUACGUAGGGUGCAAGCGUUAAUCGGAAUUACUGGGCGUAAAGCGUGCGCAGGCGGUUUUGUAAGUCUGACGUGAAAUCCCCGGGCUCAACCUGGGAAUUGCGUUGGAGACUGCAAGGCUAGAAUCUGGCAGAGGGGGGUAGAAUUCCACGUGUAGCAGUGAAAUGCGUAGAGAUGUGGAGGAACACCGAUGGCGAAGGCAGCCCCCUGGGUCAAGAUUGACGCUCAUGCACGAAAGCGUGGGGAGCAAACAGGAUUAGAUACCCUGGUAGUCCACGCCCUAAACGAUGUCUACUAGUUGUCGGGUCUUAAUUGACUUGGUAACGCAGCUAACGCGUGAAGUAGACCGCCUGGGGAGUACGGUCGCAAGAUUAAAACUCAAAGGAAUUGACGGGGGACCACGCACAAGCGGUGGAUGAUGUGGAUUUAAUUCGAUGCAACGCGAAAAACCUUACCUACCCUUUGACAUGUCAAGGAAUCCUGGAGAGAUCUGGGAGUGGCCCGAAAGGGAACCUGAACACAGGUGCUGCAUGGGCUGUCGUCAGCUCGGUGGUCGUGGAGAAUGUUGGGGUUAAGGUCCCCGCAACGAAGCGCAACCCUUGUCAUUAGUUGCUACGCAAGAGCACUCUAAUGAGACUGCCGGUGACAAACCGGAGGAAGGUGGGGAUGACGUCAAGUCCUCAUGGCCCUUAUGGGUAGGGCUUCACACGUCAUACAAUGGUACAUACAGAGGGCCGCCAACCCGCGAGGGGGAGCUAAUCCCAGAAAGUGUAUCGUAGUCCGGAUUGUAGUCUGCAACUCGACUACAUGAAGUUGGAAUCGCUAGUAAUCGCGGAUCAGCAUGCCGCGGUGAAUACGUUCCCGGGUCUUGUACACACCGCCCGUCAC